GCCCCGUGUACAUCACUUCUCACCAACUCCAUCACUACUCUCUAAUCUCCAUCACAACUCUCUCUCUCUCUCUCUCUCUCUCUCACUCACUCUCACUUCUUCCUCACCUCCUCACCAGAAAAAUAUCAAACUUGAGUGUUUCAAAAACCUGAGUUUUAAUCCAAAGUUCUCGAAAACCCAAAAAAGAUGAGGAAUCUUGAGUUUUUUUAUGAAGCAGGACACUUUCCCUUUCCCUGAUUCGUCUUCUCUUCUCUCCCUAACUUGUUUUCUCCUCUCUCCCUGACACGUCAUUUGUGGGUUUUAUUUAUUCAUUAUUAUUUAUUAUUAUUUUAUUUAUGGUUCUGAUUUUGUGUUGGCUGGGUGGGUUUUAUGGUUUUAGAUCGAUGAUGAUGACAACUAAGGAAGACGACUUGAACGGUCUGACUCCGAGCUGUAUCUGGGUUUUCUGGCACCAUCUAGCCAUUGAUGCAUCUGGGUUUUCCGGCACCAUCUGAUUUGAGCAUCUGGGUUGUGGUGGAGGAAACAGGGAAACAGUUGCUUGACAACUGAGGAUGACGACUUGAACGACGUCGUUCCUUCUGUGUUUGACGAAAAAAAAAAUGUAAUAGGAACCGUAGACCCGCUUCGAAUCGGUCCGUUUCAAACCGGGUUAUGUCCGGUUCCAAAAUUCAAAAGCCCUCUACCCGGCCCGGCCCGUGCCCAGCCCUAGUGUUAAUAAACUAAUUAAAUUAGUAAUUUCACAUUUAGGGAAAAUGUAUCCCGAGGACGUACGAGGUCAAGCAAGGCUCGAAGGCUUCGUUUCAACUACGUAUCUGUUUAGUAGUUGUGCUUACGUAUUUACAAGGAUUCUGGCAAAUCUCAGGAGAUGGUUACCUUCAGUGGUAUAACCCUCAUCCUAUUCAUUAUACUGUCAUAUGCUCUAACAUCACGUGUGAAAAGGGUUCAAUCCCGCUCAUCCGCGCACUCCUUUGUUUAGGCACUUUUAAGUUUAAAUUUAUUCACAUUCUUUUUUCACUACACUACACUUUAUGACUUUGUCACCCUUCAGGUGUCGGCCAACAUAACUCGAUUCGGAGUCCAAUGGAACUUUCCGGGUCGGGGUGUGUCACGGAGGCUUGGGUGAUCUUUUUAUUGUAAUUAAAUUUAUUUAUAACACAUAAUAAAUGUCUAUUUAUACUUAAAACAAAUAUAUAAUUGUAUUAACGAUACAUAAAUUGCAAAAUAUAAUAAUA